rnacentral:rRNA from 1 species
CGGACGGGUGAGUAACACGUGGGUAACCUACCUAUAAGACUGGGACAACUUCGGGAAACCGGAGCUAAUACCGGAUAAGAUAUCGAACCGCAUGGUUCGAUAGUGAAAGAUGGUUUUGCUAUCACUUAUAGAUGGACCCGCGCCGUAUUAGCUAGUUGGUGAGGUAACGGCUCACCAAGGCAACGAUACGUAGCCGACCUGAGAGGGUGAUCGGCCACACUGGAACUGAGACACGGUCCAGACUCCUACGGGAGGCAGCAGAU